UACAGAGGUCUCAAGCGUUGUUCGGAUUCAUUGGGCGUAAAGGGUGCGUAGGCGGCGCGGUAAGUCGGGUGUGAAAUCUCGGGGCUUAACUCCGAAACUGCAUUCGAUACUGCCGUGCUUGAGGACUGGAGAGGAGACUGGAAUUUACGGUGUAGCGGUGAAAUGCGUAGAUAUCGUAAGUAAGACCAGUGGCGAAGGCGGGUCUCUGGACAGUUCCUGACGCUGAGGCACGAAGGUCAGGGGAGCAAACGGG
rnacentral:rRNA from 1 species